rnacentral:lncRNA from 1 species
GGAGAGGGGAAGUGGAGGGUCCAUAGGGAUCUUGAAUGGGGGAUUUAUGAGAGCACAUUGAAGUGCUAGCGCUCUCAUCGGAGGCGUUAUGCGGGAGGAGGUAGGGGAGAGGAAGAGAAUCGACGAAGGAAUGAGGAGGCGAUAAGGUUGGAUGUUGAAGGAGAGGGAUGUGUAGAACAGAAUGAGACGGCACUUAGGGUUAUGAACAGAAUGAACACGGGAAUAUGCUCGGGCUUCGAGAUGGGCCAAACUGGAUUCGUAUAAUUUUUUUUUAAAAAUUUCAAGCCCAAUCCGGCAGUGACGUGGCAAUUUGAUUGUCCCUGAUUAUUUUGAGCAUGUGGAUAGCCUUAGGAAGCUUAAAAAUAGCCCCUUUUAUAUAGUGGGAU